GACGAACGCUGGCGGCGUGCUUAACACAUGCAAGUCGAACGAUGAAGCUGGAGCUUGCUCCGGUGGAUUAGUGGCGAACGGGUGAGUAACACGUGAGUAACCUGCCCUUGACUCUGGGAUAACUGCGGGAAACUGUAGCUAAUACCGGAUACGACCCUCGGCGGCAUCGCCAGGGGGUGGAAAGAAUUUCGGUCAAGGAUGGACUCGCGGCCUAUCAGCUAGUUGGGGAGGUAACGGCUCACCAAGGCGACGACGGGUAGCCGGCCUGAGAGGGUAACCGGCCACACUGGGACUGAGACACGGCCCAGACUCCUACGGGAGGCAGCAGUGGGGAAUAUUGCACGAUGGGCGCAAGCCUGAUGCAGCAACGCCGCGUGAGGGAUGACGGCCUUCGGGUUGUAAACCUCUUUUAGCAGGGAAGAAGCGAAAGUGACGGUACCUGCAGAAAAAGCACCGGCUAACUACGUGCCAGCCGCCGCCGUAA
rnacentral:rRNA from 1 species